CCUGCUGAGGCGGGUCUACUGACAGAAGUAAGCUCCAAGGCCUCCCUCAGACAGCUAACCUGGUGACCUGGGUUCCAUGGGAUGCCCAGAUUGUCAUGGACAUGAAAAAGGCUGUGGGCAGUGCUGGGUGGAGCACCUCUCUGCCUGGGGUACUUGCUUGUGAGUAGGAUCCUGGGGAUCCAGGCUUAUUCUGAGUGUGGGACUUCCUGGGUGGAAAUAUUCUGGAAAAAGUGGAAUUUUGCUGCCUUAAAGAAUCACUAAGUCUUGGAACCCGCAGUAGUGCCCAUGAUCUCUUUGAAUUAGACAAGAAGAGUGCUUGAUUGUAGCUCUUGCAAUCCUCACUGCCUGGCAGGGCAGCUCAUUCCGGAGCAGCCUCGUUCUGGGGUAGCUGUGGUUUUCUUCAGCCCCGAGGGCAUUUGCUGAGUUUUGCUUUAUGUGACUGGAUGGGACUGGCCUUGGAGACACUAAUAAGCACGUGAGGGUUUUUGGACAAUGCGAAGAGUUGGUGCCAAGCCACAAGUGGGAGAUGUUGAACUUCCUGCGAAUCUGGUGUGUUGUAGCCUGAGUCGGUUUCAAUAUGAAAAAUAAGAGUGACAGUGCCUUCCUUGUAUGCUAAUCUGGCGAAGUGGCUCAUGCUGGCCAUGUAACAACCUGGCAGCCUCCUACAGAAGCAAGUGGGGUGUGGCAUUCCUGCUGUCUGCAUCUUCUGUUUGUCACCUCGCCCACUCUGUGGCCAUAUCCCUUGUCCUGAUGGCUUCCAUCACAGCAGCCGGGGGCAACUCAGCCUGGACUCUUCCAAGCCUUUCUCUCUGUUCCUAGCCGUGUGCGGCUAGAGAGCAUCACAAGACCCCAACCUGGUGCCACGAAGGGGUACCAGGGGUUAGAACUCAAACAUAAUCUUUUUGGAGGACGCAAUUCAACUCACAAAACACACUAAGGAUGGAGAACGGGAAGACAGAAGCCCCUGAUAGCCUUGUGCAGCCACUCCCAACCUUGGGCAGCCU
rnacentral:lncRNA from 1 species